GACGAACGCUGGCGGCGUGCUUAACACAUGCAAGUCGAGCGGUAAGGCCCUUUCGGGGGUACACGAGCGGCGAACGGGUGAGUAACACGUGGGUGACCUGCCUUUAGCUCUGGGAUAAGCCCGGGAAACUGGGUCUAAUACCGGAUAUGACUCCAUGAUGCAUGUUGUGGGGUGGAAAGCCUUGUGCGGCUGGAGAUGGGCCCGCGGCCUAUCAGCUUGUUGGUGGGUGAUGGCCUACCAAGGCGACGACGGGUAGCCGGCCUGAGAGGGCGACCGGCCACACUGGGACUGAGACACGGCCCAGACUCCUACGGGAGGCAGCAGGUGGGGAAUAUUGCACAAGUGGGACGAAAGCCUGACGCAGCGACGCCGCGCGAGGAUGA
rnacentral:rRNA from 1 species